GGGAUCCGAUUUUAGCAUGGAAUAAUAAAAUAGGACGUGUGGUUCUAUUUUGUUGGUUUCUAGGACCGCCGUAAUGAUUAAUAGGGACAGUCGGGGGCAUCAGUAUUCAAUUGUCAGAGGUGAAAUUCUUGGAUUUAUUGAAGACUAACUACUGCGAAAGCAUUUGCCAAGGAUGUUUUCAUUAAUCAGGAACGAAAGUUAGGGGAUCGAAGACGAUCAGAUACCGUCGUAGUCUUAACCAUAAACUAUGCCGACUAGGGAUCGGACGGUGUUAUUCUUUGACCCGUUCGGCACCUUACGAGAAAUCAAAGUGCUUGGGCUCCAGGGGGAGUAUGGUCGCAAGGCUGAAACUUAAAGAAAUUGACGGAAGGGCACCACCAGGGGUGGAACCUGCGGCUUAAUUUGACUCAACACGGGGAAACUCACCAGGUCCAGAAAUCUAGA
rnacentral:rRNA from 1 species